GUGCUUGCUUCAGUAGCACAUAUACUAAAAUUGUAGCAAUACAGAGAAGAUUAGCAUGGCCCCUGCAAAAGGAUGACAUGCAAAUUCAUGAAGUGUUCCAUAGAAAG
ensembl:snRNA U6 U6 spliceosomal RNA